rnacentral:rRNA from 1 species
AGAGUUUGAUCAUGGCUCAGGAUGAACGCUGGCGGCGUGCCUAAUACAUGUAAGUCGAACGGAAGAUGUAGCAAUAUGUCUUUAGUGGCGAACGGGUGAGUAACGCGUUGGUGACCUGCCCCGAAGAGAGGGAUAACAGACCGAAAGGUUUGCUAAUACCGCGUAAUUUCCUUCUAGUUAGAGAGGAGGGAAGAAAGGCCGAAAGGCGCUUUGGGAGGGGCCUGCGUCCCAUCAGCUAGUUGGCGAGGUAAAAGCUCACCAAGGCGAUGACGGGUAGGGGACCUGAGAGGGUGACCCCCCACAAUGGAACUGAAACACGGUCCAUACACCUACGGGUGACAGCAGUAGGGAAUAUUGGUUAAUGGGCGAAAGCCCGACCCAGCAACGCCGCGCGCACGAAGAAGGCCUUCGGGUUGUAAAGUGCUUUUUAGUGGGAUGAGGAAGGACAGUACCACUAGAAUAAGUCUCGGCUAACUACGUGCCAGCAGCCGCGGUAACACGUAGGAGACGAGCGUUAUCCGGAUUUACUGGGUGUAAAGCGCGUGCAGGCGGUCGGGUAAGUUGGAUGUGAAAGCUCCUGGCUUAACUGGGAGAGGUCGUUCAAAACUGCCGGGCUAGAGUGCAACAGAGGGGAGUGGAAUUCCGAGUGUAGCGGUAAAAUGCAUAGAUAUUCGGAAGAACGCCAGUGGCGAAGGCGGCUCUCUGGGUUGCAACUGACGCUCAGACGCGAAAGCUAGGGUAGCGAACGGGAUUAGAGACCCCGGUAGUCCUAGCCGUAAACGAUGUGGACUUGGCGUGGGUGGGUUGAAAUCCAUCUGUGCCGAAGCAAACGCGAUAAGUCCACCACCUGGGGACUACGGCCGCAAGGUUAAAACUCAAAGGAAUUG